AUUGAACGCUGGCGGCAGGCCUAACACAUGCAAGUCGAGCGGAUGAAGGGAGCUUGCUCCUGGAUUCAGCGGCGGACGGGUGAGUAAUGCCUAGGAAUCUGCCUGGUAGUGGGGGAUAACGUCCGGAAACGGGCGCUAAUACCGCAUACGUCCUGAGGGAGAAAGUGGAGGAUCUUCGGACCUCACGCUAUCAGAUGAGCCUAGGUCGGAUUAGCUAGUUGGUGGGGUAAAGGCCUACCAAGGCGACGAUCCGUAACUGGUCUGAGAGGAUGAUCAGUCACACUGGAACUGAGACACGGUCCAGACUCCUACGGGAGGCAGCAGUGGGGAGUAUUGGACAAUGGGCGAAAGCCUGAUCCAGCCAUGCCGCGUGUGUGAAGAAGGUCUUCGGAUUGUAAAGCACUUUAAGUUGGGAGGAAGGGCAGUAAGUUAAUACCUUGCUGUUUUGACGUUACCAACAGAAUAAGCACCGGCUAACUUCGUG
rnacentral:rRNA from 1 species